CGACAAUGCACAGUUGUUGGGCCAUGAACACGCCUACAAAACAAACCAAAGAGGAUUUUCGAUACCCAGAUGACCAAGACGUUGCUACUUCUGUUGGUGAUGCUGACGACGCUCACGUUGGGUGUUGCUGGAAUGGAUGCAAUAAUUCGUCGCGAGAUGAUGAUGCUACUACAUCAGUGGCGUGAAAACUUCACCCCCGCCGGCCAUUUCUUGACCGCACGUGGUGACACUGACAUGAUGGUGGAGACGUCAACAGAGCUUUGGACGACUUUUAGAUGUGAACUCUGUGAGUGUCAUCUGUAUUCUAUUCAAACAACAUUCUGAUAAAAGUCUCUGACAAUUAAACGAUUUUGCACCAAG